GUACGGUUUUAACUUUCCAAGCAUCUCGGUUUACUUCUUCGUUUUAUGAAAAGUUCGUUGAAAUUGAUAAAUUGAGUUCUGCUGAUCUACCGUUAGAAACUAAACUGAAGAUGCUGAAUUUUAUGAAAAGAUUCGGUAAAACUCCAUUUGGCAUAAACGUCGGCGGAUUCUUUUAUGUUAAAAAGAACUUCUUCAUUCGAUUUCUGUGUGCCAUAUAUUCAGCGCUGUCUGUCUUUGUAGAACUUUUAGUAGCCAAGAAGCCACCUC